AAACCAAGACACCAAUUCACUACAAUGUCCGCCCGGACACUACGAGCACCAGCUUAAAACCCAAAGGACCUGACGGUGCCUUAGAUCCCCCUAGAGGAGCCUGUUCUAGAACCGAUUAUCCCCGUUAAACCUCACCACCCCUAGCAAUAUCAGCCUAUAUACCACCGUCGCCAGCUUACCCUGUGAAGGAAUAAAAGUAAGCACAAUGGGUAAAACCCAAUACGUCAGGUCGAGGUGUAGCAAAUGGAGUGGGAAGAAAUGGGCUACAUUUUCUACCACAGAAUAAAACGGAUACGCAACAUGAAAACCAAUGCUUGAAGGAGGAUUUAGUAGUAAAAGGGAAAAAGAGAG
rnacentral:rRNA from 1 species